UAAACCUCUCACGAAGCAACAACACGAGCAGAGCGCAACCAAGGAAGGAGGAGCUCUGGCCAUGUCGAGCCCGGUGCACGCCCGCAAGGCCAUCCACACCUUCUCCAUGAAGGCGGCCAAGCUGCAGAGCUUCCUCGGCCUCCGCGUCCUCCUCGCCGCCGCCCUCGCCGCCUUCCUCCUCCUCUUCUCCGCCCGCACCCUCUUCCCCUCCUCCACCAACCCCCCCUCCUCCCACGCCCUCCUCCACGGCGGCGGAGAGUCCUGCGGGAAGCUGCCGGCGGCGGUGGCGGAGACGCUG
rnacentral:lncRNA from 1 species